rnacentral:rRNA from 1 species
UGGGGAAUUUUGGACAAUGGGCGAAAGCCUGAUCCAGCAAUGCCGCGUGUGUGAAGAAGGCCUUCGGGUUGUAAAGCACUUUUGUCCGGAAAGAAAUCCUUGGUUCUAAUACAGUCGGGGGAUGACGGUACCGGAAGAAUAAGCACCGGCUAACUACGUGCCAGCAGCCGCGGUAAUACGUAGGGUGCAAGCGUUAAUCGGAAUUACUGGGCGUAAAGCGUGCGCAGGCGGUUUGCUAAGACCGAUGUGAAAUCCCGGGCUCAACCUGGGAACUGCAUUGGUGACUGGCAGGCUAGAGUAUGGCAGAGGGGGGUAGAAUUCCACGUGUAGCAGUGAAAUGCGUAGAGAUGUGGAGGAAUACCGAUGGCGAAGGCAGCCCCCUGGGCCAAUACUGACGCUCAUGCACGAAAGCGUGGGGAGCAAACAGGAUUAGAUACCCUGGUAGUCCACGCCCUAAACGAUGUCAACUAGUUGUUGGGGAUUCAUUUCCUUAGUAACGUAGCUAACGCGUGAAGUUGACCGCCUGGGGAGUACGGUCGUCAAGAUUAAAACUUAAAUGAAUUGACGGGGUCAUAGCUGUUUCCU